GUGCCAGCAGCCGCGGUAAUACAGAGGGUGCGAGCGUUAAUCGGAUUUACUGGGCGUAAAGCGCGCGUAGGUGGCUAAUUAAGUCAAAUGUGAAAUCCCCGAGCUUAACUUGGGAAUUGCAUUCGAUACUGGUUGGCUAGAGUAUGGGAGAGGAUGGUAGAAUUCCAGGUGUAGCGGUGAAAUGCGUAGAGAUCUGGAGGAAUACCGAUGGCGAAGGCAGCCAUCUGGCCUAAUACUGACACUGAGGUGCGAAAGCAUGGGGAGCAAACAGGAUUAGAUACCCCCGUAGUCC
rnacentral:rRNA from 1 species